rnacentral:rRNA from 1 species
GAUGAACGCUAGCUACAGGCUUAACACAUGCAAGUCGAGGGGAAACGGUAUUGGAAGCUUGCUUCCGAUAGGCGUCGACCGGCGCACGGGUGAGUAACGCGUAUCCAACCUGCCCACCACUUGGGGAUAACCUUGCGAAAGUAAGACUAAUACCCAAUGACGUCCAUAGAAGACAUCUGAAAUGGAUUAAAGAUUUAUCGGUGAUGGAUGGGGAUGCGUCUGAUUAGCUUGUUGGCGGGGUAACGGCCCACCAAGGCGACGAUCAGUAGGGGUUCUGAGAGGAAGGUCCCCCACAUUGGAACUGAGACACGGUCCAAACUCAUACGGGAGGCAGCAGUGAGGAAUAUUGGUCAAUGGGCGAGAGCCUGAACCAGCCAAGUAGCGUGCAGGAUGACGGCCCUAUGGGUUGUAAACUGCUUUUAUAAGGGAAUAAAGUGAGCCUCGUGAGGCUUUUUGCAUGUACCUUAUGAAUAAGGACCGGCUAAUUCCGUGCCAGCCGCCGCGGUAA